UGUCCUUAUCUCAACCUGUGAGCCCUUCUUUUUCUUUUCAUCAUAUUUUCUCCCCCUUUUCCUUUGAGGACGGGGAUUGAGAGAGCAGCUGUGAUGGAGUUUGGCUGCCCAGCAGGGUAAAAACAGCACAGUGUUAGUUCUAGUUUCCCUUACUCCCUGGUACCUUGCCACAGGGAUGCCCCCCAUAUUUUCCUACACAGCUCUUCAUCACAUAACACAAGUUUAAUCUGAGCAUGUCCAUUCUUGACGGAACAAAUGCAAAACAAUUUUCAGAAGUUUCAGAAGGCUUGUUCUAUGAACAGCAAAAGGUAACUCCUUGAUAUUAGCAUUCAUGAUACCUUCUUCAUAUUUUUAGCAUAUGGAUAUUCUGGGAUUAAAAAAAAAAAAAAAAAAAGAAAGGCUGUAAACUUUUUUUAAGACAAAAUGGUAUGCUUUUCUCCUGACUGGGUUACUUUGGCUAGAGUUUUGCAGAAGUAUUGAGGUGAGAUAAAUACCCCGAAUGGUAAAUUUCAGGCAUCACAGUUGAUACUUGCCAGUGUUCUAAGUAGCUGAAAACAGUGACUUAAAUGGAAAGCAUAAAAACCUCAGCUACAGGAAGCCUCAUGUUCGCUAUCCAUAAUAUCACAACAUACUUUAUAAAAUAGCUACAUUUACUUUGUAAAUUCCAGGAGAAGACUUCAGUUCACCUUAAACACGUUUACUUUCUCAGCCUUCUUGGGAGGGUGAAGUUACCAUCAGGCAUGCAGAGGCAGUGGCACGGAGGAUUUGGAGAAUGCAUUCAGAGUCCCACAGGAGAAAUGGGAGGGAGUACCAGGCCCUGCAUUAUCUUCAGUGCAAGUCUUACACUUAAUACCAUAAUUCUCUCUUUGUGGUGCCAAAUGAUUUAAUGAAUUAGCAGUAACUGAAGUAUAGUGUGUGCAUUACAGUUGUGCCAGGGAAUGCAGUCAUCCACCAGUGAGGUUGUCUUGUGAUAUACAUUGCCCAUACACACACAGUUCUUUUCCCAAAGACUUUCAUAAUCUAGGAUUCUGUUUACUGUUUUAUCAGUUAUGCUAACAAUUAAUUCACAUACGACAGAGCCCAACCUACUCAAAGAUCCUUAAAAUUGCAGGAUCAUGGCAAAAGAUUAAGUUAAAAUUUAACUCAUAUCAGUUUUUGCUUAAUUCACAUCACCAACUUAUUUAUCAUUUAACACGUGACCAUGACUGUCUUUGAUUUACAUAUAAACAGAAGACUUUUUUUUUUCUAGUUAUCCUGAUGUCCCAAGGCUAUGCAUGUGUACAUAGAAUGUAUGUAAAGGAAAGGAGCUCUGUUUUCCAAGUGCAGAAAGGAAAUGAUUCUGACUAGAAGCAUACGUCAUCAGCAUCGGCAUCCCUUGCCCUUUGUUUCCAAACAUGACUCCUCAACUGAAAGACUUAUUUCGAGAUAUUUCCUGUUGAGUAACUGAUGGUGCUGCUGCUGAGAGGUGCUCUCCUGCUGACCUGUGACCCUCCUCCAGGCUCUGGGCAUCUAUUGCUGAUACUGGCUUCAAACUGAUGGACGCCAUCAGCCUCCAGCAGACCAUGUUUCUCAAUUUGAGUCUCAUCGUCUAAAUAAUUGAACUCCUGACUGUGGCACCAGUCUUGUAGCCAUUUCUUGAUUUGCCAGAUUCAAAUGGCUCUUUCAAACCCCCUUCCUUUGACUGGGAGGACUGUCGAAAAAGCUACUUGCACUCCUGAGUCCCUUACUGCUGCUCCUGGAGCUGUGUAAUCCUUCUUGAUACUCCUCAGGCUGCUCCUGGUUGUACCAACGGUGCCCAUGUGAAAAAACAGCAGGAGCAGAUCUUUCCUUCCAUCUCAGAGCAGCCUAACAAGCAGUGCAGGGAGAAAAUGCAGCAUACAGUAUGAUCAGAUCUAUCCCUCCAGCUUAUUGUGUUCUUCAUGUACUUGCUGUAAAGAAUGCGGUAGCUGGAUGGAAAUCAUCAGACAAAUGAGGUCAGAAUCUCAGGAGAGUAUGCCCGCAGAACUUGGAACUUGAGGGAUUUUAAUUAUAGCAUAAGAAUCAUAUGUAAUUGGUGUAAGAGAUGUUCACAUAAAUGGAAAUCUGAGCUGCUAUGUUUGAAACUAAAGGAAAGAAGAAAUGCCCUACUGGAAGACGGGAGCUUAUUCAUUACUUCAAGGACCAUGCAAGGAUUUCCCUUGCUGCUGGGCCCUUGCAAAUCUUGCAUUGCUUCUUAUUCAGUUCUGCACCUCUUCUGAAAAGGCUUCUCAUCUUUUUUUUUUUUUUUUUAAUACCAUCCCUAUCAGAUGCUGAUGGUUAUGGUUGCUACUGACUUACAGUGGUUCUAAAACAU